rnacentral:tRNA from 1 species
GUCUCCGUGGCGCAAUCGGUUUAGCGCGUCUGACUGUUAUCCGAGCCCCAUCGGAGCUGACAUCAGGAGGUUGGCAGUUCGAGCCUGCCCGGGGACG